rnacentral:lncRNA from 1 species
GACACCAGGGCAGCUCCUAAGGAAACGUGUUUAUCUUGGAUGCAGCUGACAGAGGUGGCAUGGAUGGAGCUGAGCUGGUAGAGAGACCCCAUUUCUCAAACCCAGGUUUCUACACUGAAUUCAAAAGGAAACCUUAUCAAGCAGCCUUCCAGCUUGUUGUCAUCCAUCUUCCAAAGAAUUCAGUAGCCCUUGGUGGUUGAUGAUUUAUAGGACAGUGGCCAUGAGGAGGUUGCUUUUUGUAUUAGUCUGUAUUUUAUCAAAGAUCAGCAACCUGCUGGCUGGGGCCAGAAGUAGCAGGCUCUUUGUGGAAUCCAAUUAACCUCAGUCUUGGCUGCAGCCAACUCCAGGCCAGCAGAAGGCUGCUGGCCACUUAGGCAGAUGAAAGACUUUGAUCUGUCCAAGUUGGGAGUUCUAGCUGUUUAAAAUAGAGCUACCCUGUCUUAAUGACUGAAGAGUUCUGUCCCCAGGGACCUUGCAAUAUAUUUAAGAAAUAGAGAUGCACACAUAUGGAAUGUUAAUUAGCAAAACAAGGCUAUCUAUCGCAAAUAGCAAAUUCGUGGAAUGAACUAUACAAAAUGGUGCCUGUGGGAAUUCAGAGGUGGGCAUGUUAAUGGUAAGAGUAAUAAAGGAAUUUAGUGUCAUUUUAUUGAGCAUCUAUUGUGUUCCAGGCACUGUACUAAGCACUUUGUGUUCAUUCCAUUUUACAGGAAAUUGAGGCUGAGAGAAGCUGAAGGACUUGCACAAGGUCACACAGCUAGUAAGGGAUGAAGGGAGGAUUUGAUCCUGAGUUAGCUCACACAGCUAUGAAGUCUUAAUUACUUUGGAGAGUGCUUUUACACUCUAUGGCCACAGGCAACAGUGGUUUUGUUGGAAGAAUGGUGAGACUUAUGUAAAUUUUCUCUAAGUUGAUGACAUUUAAACUGGGUUUUGAUGUAUGAAUAAGAUUUCCAUAGUUGGAGAAAGAGAGAAGACACUCCUUACAGAAGAAACUUCCCCUGCAAAGCAUGUAUGGCUUGCCUUGAUUUCCCCCAUCUCUUCCUUUAUCUAUGUCCACCACAUCUGGUUGUAUUCAACAUGAGGGGGCCAAGCAAUGGUGUCCACUGGGGGAGGUUUCAUAUGGGAGAUUUGAUAAAAAGUGAUUGGGGAAGUUGUUCAUGUGCCUAUGGGAUAUUUCUCAUGAGAUGAUUCUGGUACAAUGAAUCAUUUGUUCCAUGUGGAGAUCAUGAUGGUCAGAUUAUAUUUAUAUUCUUUUGAUUUUUAAACCAUGAUACAGUUUCUAAGAGUCUGAUAAGUUGGGUUUUGCUUUUACCCUAUCUGGAAAAAUUGGGGUUUGCAGUCAGUAUGUCUGCUAACUAGUGGUUGAGCUAGCCCACCUGCUUUGUACACAAGUAGCCCCGCCCUGAGGGAAUGGGAAUGGACGGGGAUGGCGGGGAGGAAAUUGCUUACCUGGGAUUCUGAUGACAGUAAUUGAGACUAGCAAAGUAGCUUCCCUUUGUGUCCCUCAUAAAGGUAGAAAAAUUUGGAUGUAAACAUGAAAUUUUAAAAGUUAGUAGAAUGAAACAGACAUUAUUACUGUAUGUAUAUAUGUGACUACUGACCAACAUCAUUCUGCAACAUGUACACUCAGAAAAAUGAGAAAUUGCAUCCCAUCUAUGGAUGAUAUAUUAAAGUGCAUAAAUGCAAAAAAAGUUAAUAACUGAGAGAAAUUAUGAAUGGGUGUAUUAUACAGAGAGAGAAAGGUAAUAUUAUGUUAACACUUUGAAUGAGUCUCUAAACAAGAUAUGCUGUUGUGUCUCAGUUGCCUGGAAGGGUGAAGCCACAUAUGACUGAGGCCACUUCUGCUUUUAAAACCCAAGAUCAUUGGAAGCUUGCAAACCUGAGUGGUCUUGUCCUGGGAGACAUUUUGUACAUCCUAUGUGAUAAUGAGCUGGAAUGAUCAUUAAUGAUCCAGCAGGACUAUUAAUUUGCCAGUGUCUUUUUUGUGUGAAAAUGUAAGGCACUUCUGCAUAAUUGUUUUAUUUUUUCCACAUUUUUACUGGUACAUUAUAGUUGUACAUAAUAAUGGGAUUUGUUAACAUAUUUAUAUAAGCACACAAUAUAAUAAUAUAAUUUGGCAACAGUUCAUCCCUUUUCAUUGCUGUGUUGUAUUCCCAAGUAAUUCCUCCUUCCCUCUCCACUGUCCACCCCUUGGUAUUCCUACUGGCAUCUCUGGGAUUUUUAUGAGAUUUCUCUCCCACCACCAUUCUUUUCCUUUAUUUUUUCCUCUGAAGCUUCUGCAUUUGAGAUAAAUCAUAUGACUUUUUAUCUUCUGAGUUUGUCUUAUUUUUCUUAAGAUAGGGGUCUCAUAUU